GACGAACGCUGGCGGCGUGCUUAACACAUGCAAGUCGAACGGAAAGGCCCUGCUUUUGUGGGGUGCUCGAGUGGCGAACGGGUGAGUAACACGUGAGUAACCUGCCCUUGACUUUGGGAUAACUUCAGGAAACUGGGGCUAAUACCGGAUAGGAGCUCCUGCUGCAUGGUGGGGGUUGGAAAGUUUCGGCGGUUGGGGAUGGACUCGCGGCUUAUCAGCUUGUUGGUGGGGUAGUGGCUUACCAAGGCUUUGACGGGUAGCCGGCCUGAGAGGGUGACCGGCCACAUUGGGACUGAGAUGCGGCCCAGACUCCUACGGGAGGCAGCAGUGGGGAAUAUUGCACAAUGGGAGGAAGCCUGAUGCAGCAACGCCGCGUGCGGGAUGACGGCCUUCGGGUUGUAAACCGCUUUCGCCUGUGACGAAGCGUGAGUGACGGUAAUGGGUAAAGAAGCACCGGCUAACUACGUG
rnacentral:rRNA from 1 species